ensembl:lncRNA
CUGAAGGGGAGUCGCAGUGAUCACGGAAUCCUGAGAAAUCCACGCCCCUACUCCCCCACCCCCAACCCAUAAACAAUAUAGAUUCACAUACCCAGCACAACAGCUGUAAGGCCUGACCAUCCCAGCUGCAGCCAGAGCCUGAUCUGACUCACUCCAAGACUGAGGGAGAGUUUGGGGAGGAAAACACAAAGACCCUGCUUCCUGAGCUGGAUCCACCCCAAGGCCAUGAGAGGGAGUGGAGCCCGGGAACAUCACUUGACUUCAAACCUAGGAGUGGACAAAGACAGGACUGGAGCAGCCCCUGCAGCCUUGCCCUGUUCCCUUUAUUGCCAAGCCCCACCUUUGGAGAGAUGCCCGGUUUGUCCAGGGUGUGGCAGAUGCAUGCAGGCAAUCAUGCCAGGUAAGGACACUCAGCCUGCACAGGGGUCACUUCCUGGAUACCAGCCAGGGCCCUACCCCAUCAAAGAUGGCUCUCCCAGGCCUCAUCCACAUCCCCACCUCCAGGAGUAUCUGGGGGGAGGAAGGAAGGGUCCCAGAUCCCUCUGCCCUCACCUAUACCCCCAGACCUUAGAAUAAACUACAGCAACAGCUUCAAAUCCUGACAGGAUCAAUCUGCAGUGGACCAGACCUAAGAAAGAAACGGUAACUCAUUCCCCAACCCCAAAUUCAGUUUCUCAUCAUCCUGAAAACUUCCCUCAAAUCUAGUCUUCUUCCAACUCUCCCUCCUCUACAACCUCACCCCUCCAAAUAAGCUUCUGUGAGCUGGGAAAGCCAGCACCUGUUGGACCCCUGAACUCAGUGUCCAGAUUGGGGUGGAAUGUGGAUCAGAAAAGAGUCAGAAGGAAAGAAGACAGAGUAGCUCCAGAACCAAGCUGGGCUUAAGAGAAAAUGAAGUUCAAUCAUUCAUUCAUUCACCCAAGAUUUAUUAAGCCCUGCUGUUUGCCUUGUGCUGCGCCCUACCAGAGAUACAAAAAUUAGAGAAAGUUUUUAGCAUUCCCUUAGUAAUAACUGCUCCAGCUGCCCCAACCUCGGGCAAGUGUCCGCCCUUUGAAUCAUACCCCCAACUCCCCUUCUCACAGCAGAACCAGAGAGGAACCCAGAGACAGACAGUCUAAAAGCAGAAACCGAAACAGAGCACCAGGCAGAGUUAACGGGUUUAGAGAGCCCUCUCCCGACCCUCCAGGGGCACAGAGAUGUUGUAGGUGGACCGAGUUCCCUCCCAGACCCGGGCAAACACAGACAAAACGGCCGUCUGCCCUGCAGCCUAGGCAGAGAUCUCUCUCCCUGCCGGGAAUCAGCAAACUGAGGUACAAAAACGGAAGAGAGAUCCCGGACACCCAGAGCCUCGCCUGGGCGUGGCUGGAGUCCCAGCUUUGAAGACCGCUCCUUGCGGCACUUAGGGCCACGCCCUAAGAUGAUGCUGCCACGGGUGGAGGUUGGGGCCGGAAUCCCACUUUACUAUGGGACUCUCAGUAGUAUCCACAGUGCAGCGAACACACCCAAUCAUGCAUAUAUGUCGAAGGCCAACUAGCUCCCAGACCCACAGCCUGGGACCUCGUAUUUCUAGAGCACUUUA